CCACCAAUGUUAUAUCAAUUAUUCUGAAUGUGGUUUGCGCAUUUUUUAUGCUUAUCAGCCUUGGAGCUGUGAAGCGUUCUUUUAUAAUUUGAUGAUGUAGCAAGCGUUUGAACUUUUUAUUAAUAAUUUCUCAUUGGAAGCCUUAAGUGACAAUGUUUAUCCAUUGUCUUGUAGAUUUUGAGGCGACUUUGGGUUAUAUGGUCAAGCGAAUAAGCGCACAUGGUGGAUGCCUUGGCGGUCAGAGGCGAUGAAGGACGUGGUAGCCUGCGAAAAGUGUCGGGGAGCUGGCAACAAGCUUUGAUCCGGCAAUAUCCGAAUGGGGGAACCCACUGUUUAGGCAGUAUCUUUGAGUAAAUUCAUAGCUCAAGGAGGCGAACCUGGGUGAACUGAAAUAUCUAAGUAACCAGAGGAAAAGAAAUCAACAGAGAUUCCCUGAGUAGUGACGAGCGAACGGGGAUUAGCCCUUAAGCUAGUAUGGUUUUAGGAAAGCAAUCUGGAAAGGUUGGCCAUAGAAGGUGAUAGCCCUGUAUCCGAAAGGGCCGUACUAGUGAAGAUGAGUAGGACGGGGCACGUGAAACCUUGUCUGAAUAUGGGGGGUCCAUCCUCCAAGGCUAAAUACUCCUGACCGACCGAUAGUGAACUAGUACC
rnacentral:sRNA from 1 species